rnacentral:rRNA from 1 species
AAAGUCCCGCAAGGGAUCAGUAGAGUGGCAAACGGGUGAGUAACACGUGGGUGACCUACCUUCGAGUGGGGGAUAACCUUCCGAAAGGAGGGCUAAUACCGCAUGACAUCCCAUGUUAGGAUACAUGGACAUCAAAGCCGGGGAUCGCAAGACCUGGCGCUUGAAGAGGGACCUGCGCCCGAUUAGCUAGUUGGUGAGGUAACGGCUCACCAAGGCUUCGAUCGGUAUCCGGCCUGAGAGGGCGGACGGACACACUGGAACUGAGACACGGUCCAGACUCCUACGGGAGGCAGCAGUGGGGAAUUGUUCGCAAUGGGCGCAAGCCUGACGACGCAACGCCGUGUGGAGGAUGAAGACUUUCGGGUCGUAAACUCCUUUCGACCGAGAUGAAAAGCCUGCGAUCUAAUAGGUCGCAGGUCUGACAGUAUCGAGAGAAGAAGCCCCGGCUAACUCCGUGCCAGCAGCCGCGGUAAUACGGGGGGGGCAAGCGUUGUUCGGCAUUACUGGGCGUAAAGGGUCUGUAGGUGGCUUGCUAAGUCAGACGUGAAAUCCCUCAGCUUAACUGGGGAACUGCGUCUGAGACUGGCGAGCUUGAGGGCAGGAGAGGAACGCGGAAUUCCAGGUGUAGCGGUGAAAUGCGUAGAUAUCUGGAGGAACACCGGUGGCGAAGGCGGCGUUCUGGACUGCAUCUGACACUGAAAGACGAAAGCCAGGGGAGCAAACGGGAUUAGAUACCCCGGUAGUCCUGGCCCUAAACGAUGAAUGCUUGGUGUGGCGGGUAUCGAUCCCUGCCGUGCCGUAGUUAACGCGAUAAGCAUUCCGCCUGGGGAGUACGGUCGCAAGGCUG